rnacentral:hammerhead_ribozyme from 1 species
GCACUGCUGAGGAGUACCAAACAGGACGAAACAGCUGUCCAGUGU